rfam:Paraglaciecola psychrophila 170 chromosome, complete genome.
UUUCGGUCCCCUCGCAAUGAUAAUUUGUGAACCCGGUCAGACCUGGAAGGGAGCAGCCGCAGCAAACGACUCAUGUGCCGAGGUGUGGCUGGAAGGG